UCCGGUUGAUCCUGCCGGACCCGACUGCUAUCAGAGUGAGACUAUGCCAUGCGAGUUAACGUAUGAAUAAUACGUGGCACACGGCUCAGUAACACGUAGUCAACAUCCCCAGAGGACGUGGAUAACCUCGGGAAACUGAGGAUAAACCGCGAUAGGCCAUAAUUACUGGAAUGGGUUAUGGCUUAAACCUAUAUGGCCUCUGGAUUGGACUGCGGCCGAUCAGGCUGUUGGUGAGGUAAUGGCCCACCAAACCUGUUACCCGUACGGGCUCUGAGAGGAGGAGCCCGGAGAUGGGCACUGAGACAAGGGCCCAGGCCCUAUGGGGCGCAGCAGGCGCGAAACCUCUGCAAUAGGCGAAAGCCUGACAGGGUUACUCUGAGUGAUUCCCGCUAAGGGGAUCUUUUGGCACCUCUAAAAAUGGUGCAGAAUAAGGGGUGGGCAAGUCUGGUGUCAGCCGCCGCGGUAAUACCAGCACCCCGAGUGGUCGGGACGAUUAUUGGGCCUAAAGCAUCCGUAGCCGGUCAUGCAAGUCCUCCGUUAAAUCCACCUGCUUAACAGAUGGGCUGCGGAGGAUACUACAAGGCUAGGAGGCGGAAGAGGCAAGCGGUACUCAGUGGGUAGGGGUAAAAUCCUCUGAUCCAUUGAAGACCACCAGUGGCGAAGGCGGCUUGCCAAUACGCGCUCGACGGUGAGGGAUGAAAGCUGGGGGAGCAAACCGGACUAGAUACCCGGGUAGUCCCAGCUGUAAACGAUGCAGACUCGGUGAUGGGCCGGCUUUAUGCCGGCUCAGUGCCGCAGGGAAGCCGUUAAGUCUGCCGCCUGGGGAGUACGGUCGCAAGACUGAAACUUAAAGGAAUUGGCGGGGGAGCACCACAAGGGGUGAAGCCUGCGGUUCAAUUGGGCAACGCCGGAAAUCUUACCGGGGGCGACAGCAGAGUGAAGGUCAAGCUGAAGACUUUACCAGACAAGCUGAGAGGAGGUGCAUGGCCGUCGCCAGCUCGUGCCGUGAGGUGUCCUGUUAAGUCAGGUAACGAGCGAGAUCCCUGCUUUUAGUUGCUACCACUACUCUCAGGAGGAGUGGGGCUAAUUAAAAGGACUGCCGCCGCUAAGGCGGAGGAAGGAGGGGGCUACGGCAGGUCAGUAUGCCCCGAAACCCUCGGGCCACACGCGGGCUGCAAUGGUAAGUACAAUGGGUUCCGAUUCCGAAAGGAGGAGGCAAUCCCUAAACCUUACCUCAGUUAUGAUUGAGGGCUGAAACUCGCCCUCAUGAAUAUGGAAUCCCUAGUAACCGCGUGUCAUUAUCGCGCGGUGAAUACGUCCCUGCUCCUUGCACACACCGCCCGUCGCUUCAUCGAAGUUGGUUCUUGGCGAGGUGGUGCCUAAUUGGCACUAUCGAACCUGGGGUCAGCAACGAGGGAG
rnacentral:rRNA from 1 species